rnacentral:rRNA from 1 species
GACGGAAGGUGCAAGCGUUGCUCGGAAUUACUGGGCGUAAAGGGUUUGUAGGUGGCUUGCUAAGUCAGACGUGAAAUCCCUCAGCUUAACUGGGGAACUGCGUCUGAGACUGGCGAGCUUGAGUGCAGGAGAGGAACGCGGAAUUCCAGGUGUAGCGGUGAAAUGCGUAGAUAUCUGGAGGAACACCGGUGGCGAAGGCGGCGUUCUGGACUGCAACUGACACUGAGAAACGAAAGCCAGGGGAGCAAACGGG